rnacentral:tRNA from 1 species
UGGUCCUGGUGGACGGCGCGACCGGCCGGGUCGAGAUCGGCGUCGACGAGGAGACCGUGGCGGCCGCCCGGCUCGGCUCCGCCAGCUCCGUC